GGGGCGCAGUCCCCGCCGCGAAGGCCACUCAUAAUCCCUCGGUCGCGGGUUCGAGCCCCGCCCGCCCCACCA
rnacentral:tRNA from 1 species